GAUGAACGCUGGCGGCGUGCCUAAUACAUGCAAGUCGAGCGAACAGAUGAGGCGCUUGCUCCUCUGACGUUAGCGGCGGACGGGUGAGUAACACGUGGAUAACCUACCUAUAAGACUGGGAUCACUACGGGAAACCGGCGCUAAUACCGGAUAAUAUAUUGCACCGCAUGGUUCAAUAGUGAAAUACGGUUUUGCUGUCACUUAUCGCUGGAUCCGCGCCGCUUUGUCUAGUUGGUAAGGUAACGGCUUACCAAGGCAACGAUGCGUAGCCGACCUGAGAGGGGGAUAGGCGACACGGGAACGGAGACGCGGUCCAGAGGCCUAAGGGAGGGAGCAGAAGGGAAAGGUACGCAAUGGUGGGAAGCCUGGCGGAGCAACGGGAAGUGUGAGGUAGAGGUGCUCGGAGCGUGAAACCCGGUUUAUAGGGAAGAACAAAUUUGGAAGGAAACAAGGAGGGAGUGACGGUAACGAGUCAAAAAGCCACGGCUAACUACGUG
rnacentral:rRNA from 1 species